rnacentral:tRNA from 2 species
GCCGAGGUGGCCCAGACCGGUAAGGCGCAAGCCUGGAAAGCUUGUGUCCGCAAGGACUCGGGAGUUCAAAUCUCCCCCUCGGCGCCA